rnacentral:lncRNA from 1 species
UCGUAUAUACAGUGUUCGGGCCAAAGCUGCACUAGCUGCUGCGUGCGAAACACAUUUGACCUCCCUUAAAAUGCUGCAAACUAUGAGGUCUGUGCAUAUGAAACGUAUUGUAUUCACCCUUCAUGCCGAGGCACAUGCAUCGAUGGAGCCCAUGCAUUGCCGUCAGGUACCCCUCGUCCCUAAGAUCUACUGCUGUAACAACCACGCACACAUACUGCUAGUAGUCAUAAGAGCUGUAAUUCCUGUGACCUCUGGUGUCCUGUUCGCGCCAGUUGCACCGCAAACGCUUCCACAUGAACUGUUAAACUGUUUAAAAUUUUCGUAUUCUUAAGUAUCGCGCGUGUGUAUGCUUUGAAAAUACAGGAGAUGGAAAAGGUACGCUUACAGCGCUAGCCGUCAGCGAUUUCUGGCUUACCAGGGUCUCAAGAUCUAGGACCUCUUUUCCGAAAGCACUGAAAGGAGUUUUGCAACGUUAUGUAAUCUUUUCGGGGACUUUCCAUGGACCUGCCGGCGAAGUAAGGGAAUGAUAUGCGCACGCCGCCGAAUAAGUAAUUAUCAGUAAAUUGUUAACCUGCAGGUAUCACGUUGAACUUCUUAAUGCAAUGCCAACAUAAACCAAACAGAACAAGCCUACAACAUGACUUCCAAAGGGUGGCAUGUAUGUUAGAAGCGCCCUGCAUUCCGCUAAGGUACAGCUUGUUUGCUAUUUGGACGGAACAGUCUUUUUUGCGUUCUUUUCCGAGUACCUCUUACACUGCUUGUCCUGCGCAUCCUUUACAUGUACUACGGCUAAGGGAUCCCUUCCGGAUGAUGAAGAAUGUGCUUUAUGCUGGACCAAUUACACAUCACGAUCAGCAUCGAUUAAGCGGCUCCAGGAGCUGGUACCAGCUGGUACCGGCCGGUGCUUAGGGCCCGAUCCGCCGCCGGGAGGACGACUUCCUGAGGCAAACACGACGGACAUCCCGAACGGUGCUUACAUCCGUGUUAUGGAAAAUUGCUCUUACGUGUGUGGACCGGACGGAUGGACAAGAGGCAACGUUUUGCAUCACUUGUUUCUUGGCCGCAAGCAGCAACGUAGUGAAGGACAUGGACGCGCAUGCACAGGCCAUGGAAUGGUAUGUCUAAAUCAUGGAUGGCGACGUUCAACUCUCAGAAUGGUGAUUUCUGCCUUUGGGUUCAAUUCUGAACCUGGAAUGCUGCUGGCUCUGCCCGUACCGGAAAAGUGCUUUCCGGUACGGCGGUGCCAGGAGGUGGUAUCUACGUCGUCUUAGGGGCAACCCUAAGACCAAGGGGAUGAACGAAUACAUAUACACUUUCUGUUUCUUGGCUGCAGCAAGUGUUGUCCUGGGCGCAACGUUGAUGGCCUGAUGCCGACGCGACCUCCUUUACGACAAUGCUAGGCAAACGCAGCGGAUGUUCAUGAAUUACUUAAGCGUUCAUAUUACUCGUCACAGCUUCAACGGCACUGUACUGGGCGGAUGUAAGACGUGCGUUGGUGGACGCGAUGGCCUUACGAAGGGGGAGAAAGACGCUUAGGAGAUGCUUGGAUUGUUAUGUACAAGUCACAGACGGGGACGUUUAACUCUAUGAAUGCUGAGUUUUAGCUACUAGUCGGGUUUUUUGAACUUCGCUGUUGUUGUUUCCGCCCGUACAGGAAAAGUGUCUUCUGAUACGGCGGUCACAGCAGGUAGUAUCCACGUCGACUUGUAUGCAAACCAAAUACAACGAAACCAGGGGAUGAUAUGACAGUUUUGGAAUGCUUGUUUCUUGGCCGCAAGCAGCAGCAUACUUAAAUCGCGUUGGGCCAUUUGCCCAGGCUGCCGCAAGGACGACAAGCCAGGCUAAUGCAGCUGGUGUCCAUGACGGGUUCAUUACGUGCUGAAUAUGAAAGAUUGCUACAAAGACUCUGGCCCUGACGAACGUAAAAUGUGAUGUUCGUAAGGAAGAAAACAGACGCAUAUCCAAGGCAUGGAGCUGUUUGUAGGGAAACCGUAAAUGAAGGUUUAAGGAACUGAACGAUGAAUUCUGCCGGUGUGGUCGGUUCUGGAUCUCUUAUGUUGCUCGUCACGCUCGUACGGAAAAUGGGCAUUUGUUGCAGGAGGGAGUCUGUGUGUCAAGUCGUAGUCGAACCUUUUUCAAAGGGGAUGAGCACACACACAGCUUGCAUUCCAUGUUCACUAAUGUCAGCCCACAGUAAGCUACUGGGCUAGACUUGGAGGGUCCGACCGGGGCAACUCGUUGCUGUGGACUUGUAGGCAAGUCAAGUAGGGCUAUGGAAUGCUAGGACAAUGUUAUUAUGUUUGUGUUAUAGGCUUGGGUAGGAAUUCUUAAGCAAUACGUUGAGUGGCUUUUCCGCCGGCGGGAGGACGACAAUCCCACGCAAACAGGACGGAUGUUCCGAAUGUUGCUUACAUUCAUGUUGUCGAAGCUCGCGACGACGGCUCUGGACAGGACGGAUGUCAAGUGUGCGUUGGUGGACGUGAUGGCAACGUAGUGAAGGACACGGACGCGCAUGCACAGGCCAUGGAAUGGUAUGUCUAAAUCAUGGAUGGCGACGUUCAACUCUCAGAAUGGUGAUUUCUGCCUUUGGGUUCAAUUCUGAACCUGGAAUGCUGCUGGCUCUGCCCGUACCGGAAAAGUGCUUUCCGGUACGGCGGUGUCAGGAGGUGGUAUCUACGUCGUCUUAGGGGCAACCCUAAGACUAAGGGGAUGAACGAAUAGAGAUAUACUUAGGGUUUCUUGNNN